AGUGAACGCUGGCGGCAGGCCUAACACAUGCAAGUCGAACGGCAGCACAGUAAGAGCUUGCUCUUACGGGUGGCGAGUGGCGGACGGGUGAGGAAUACAUCGGAUUCUACUUUUUCGUGGGGGAUAACGUAGGGAAACUUACGCUAAUACCGCAUACGACCUACGGGUGAAAGUAGGGGAUCUUCGGACCUUGCGCGAUUGAAUGAGCCGAUGUCGGAUUAGCUAGUUGGCGGGGUAAAGGCCCACCAAGGCGACGAUCCGUAGCUGGUCUGAGAGGAUGAUCAGCCACACUGGAACUGAGACACGGUCCAGACUCCUACGGGAGGCAGCAGUGGGGAAUAUUGGACAAUGGGCGCAAGCCUGAUCCAGCCAUACCGCGUGGGUGAAGAAGGCCUUCGGGUUGUAAAGCCCUUUUGUUGGGAAAGAAAAGCAGCAGGUUAAUACCCCGCUGUUCUGACGGUACCCAAAGAAUAAGCACCGGCUAACUUCGUG
rnacentral:rRNA from 1 species